rnacentral:rRNA from 1 species
UACAGAGGUCUCAAGCGUUGUUCGGAUUCAUUGGGCGUAAAGGGCGCGUAGGCGGCGGGGUAAGUCGGGUGUGAAAUCUCAGAGCUCAACUCUGAAACUGCACUCGAUACUGCUCUGCUUGAGGACUGGAGAGGAGACUGGAAUUCACGGUGUAGCAGUGAAAUGCGUAGAUAUCGUGAGGAACACCAGUGGCGAAGGCGACUACCUUGCCCAUUCUUGACGCUGAGGCGCGAAAGCUAGGGGAGCGAACGGG